GGAUCCUUCCUCGUUGCUGGUUCGCUCCGAGAGGGGCGAGGUAAGAGGGAACCCGGUGAGAAUCCGGGGCUGCCCCGCAGCGGUGAACGGGAACGAAAACCGUCAUGAGAGCACUGGGCGCACCUUGCCUGGGAAGCGACGGCCAGUAGGCAUCGGCACGGCGCCCGUGAGUCCGAAGACCUGCCAGUGACGCAUGGAAGAG
rnacentral:ncRNA from 1 species